GUUGUCGCAAUGGUAAACCUGCUCAGUACGAGAGGGACCGCAGGUUCGGACAUUUGGCACACGUGGUGCGAAGCUACCAUCCGUGGGACUAUGACUGAACGCCUUUAAGUCAGCAUCCCGUCCAGAUCUGUAACGAUACCUUAGCGCCUUCUUGUUGUUCCGCAGAAAUGCGCUCAGCUUCAUCGCAGAGCCGUGUUAUGCCACACUGAUGGAGCCUUGCGCCUAACUGGCGAUGUAACGACGCUAGCUCGGCCGGCUUCUGGUCCCACACCAGAUAAACGUGAAGGCGAGAAAUCGUCGGUAGAUGACUUAAAUACCGGUCGGGGUAUCUGUUGAGACUCAUCCUUCGACCGGAAGAUUU
rnacentral:ncRNA from 1 species